AGCUUUGUGCAGUGGCAGUAUCGUAGCCAAUGAGGUUUAUCAGAAGUGUGAUCAUUGCUAAUUGAAAACUUUUCUAUAAAGGAACUGGUCUGUAGUUUAAAAAAAAUUAAUAAAUGUCACAAAGGAGA
ensembl:snRNA U4 U4 spliceosomal RNA